rnacentral:lncRNA from 1 species
UCCGGUAUUUGAACUGCAUGCCUCGGGGUUAUCUCCGUGGUUGGAACUGAUACUCCCAGGGUGUGUUUCUGGGUUGAGACUGAACUUCUGGUGGUAUCCGGACUGGAUAUGAGCUGUCUUCCAGGGUUAUCUCUGAAAGAAGAAUUUGCCCCCCUGCAAUGUCAAUGACAGGUGUGUAGAAAAUUUCGAGUGUCUACAGAUGCCCCUCUUUAUCAUAUUCAUACAAUGCAAUGGCAUGGAUAGGAUAAAGAAUCCUAGACACUUGAAAAUGCAACAAGAUAAACAUGAUGCCAUGUGCAGCAACAUGAUGCAAAUGUAUGAUGCAGAUGUGUUGUUGGAUUGUUCUCCAACAUGUUGGGAUGAUUGUCGGCUCCCUGCUGCUUCUGCCUGGGAUCGGCAACGAUGACAAGCUUGGACGUGUGCUCCAAAUCUUUUAGGAUGUUGACGUUGGGGCUAUCACCAAAGUCCUUAAUCCUUGAUACAGACUUUAUUCUGAAGAUGUGCCUCUCAUGUACAAGAGAUCUGUGGGGAUAAAGCUUUGUCUGUUUUGAGGAUAUGUAUAAUCGAUCCUCCCCGAUGAUGUUGAUCCUUCCUAGUUUGUAUCGCC